UAGAGUUUGAUCCUGGCUCAGGAUGAACGCUAGCGGCAGGCUUAACACAUGCAAGUCGAGGGGCAUCGGGAGGGAAGCUUGCUUUCCUUGCCGGCGACCGGCGCACGGGUGAGUAACACGUAUGCAACCUGCCCUCUUCAGGGGGACAACCUUCCGAAAGGGAGGCUAAUCCCGCGUAUAUCGGUUUCGGGCAUCCGAGAUCGAGGAAAGAUUCAUCGGAAGAGGAUGGGCAUGCGGCGCAUUAGCUUGACGGCGGGGUAACGGCCCACCGUGGCGACGAUGCGUAGGGGUUCUGAGAGGAAGGUCCCCCACACUGGUACUGAGACACGGACCAGACUCCUACGGGAGGCAGCAGUGAGGAAUAUUGGUCAAUGGGAGAGAUCCUGAACCAGCCAAGCCGCGUGAGGGAAGACGGCCCUAUGGGUUGUAAACCUCUUUUGUCGGAGAACAAAACCCGGGACGUGUCCCGGACUGCGUGUAUCCGAAGAAAAAGCAUCGGCUAACUCCGUGCCAGCAGCCGCGGUAAUACGGAGGAUGCGAGCGUUAUCCGGAUUUAUUGGGUUUAAAGGGUGCGUAGGCGGUCCGUUAAGUCAGCGGUAAAAUUGCGGGGCUCAACCCCGUCGAGCCGUUGAAACUGGCAGACUUGAGUUGGCGAGAAGUACGCGGAAUGCGCGGUGUAGCGGUGAAAUGCAUAGAUAUCGCGCAGAACUCCGAUUGCGAAGGCAGCGUACCGGCGCCAGACUGACGCUGAGGCACGAAAGCGUGGGGAUCGAACAGGAUUAGAUACCCUGGUAGUCCACGCAGUAAACGAUGAAUGCUGGUUGUCCGGGUCGAAUGAGAUCUGGGCGGCGAAGCGAAAGCGAUAAGCAUUCCACCUGGGGAGUACGCCGGCAACGGUGAAACUCAAAGGAAUUGACGGGGGCCCGCACAAGCGGAGGAACAUGUGGUUUAAUUCGAUGAUACGCGAGGAACCUUACCCGGGCUCAAACGACACAGGAAUACUUUUGAAAGGAGGUAGCUCUACGGAGUCUGUGUCGAGGUGCUGCAUGGUUGUCGUCAGCUCGUGCCGUGAGGUGUCGGCUUAAGUGCCAUAACGAGCGCAACCCCCAUCGCCAGUUACCAGCAAGUCAAGUUGGGGACUCUGGCGAGACUGCCGGCGCAAGCUGUGAGGAAGGCGGGGAUGACGUCAAAUCAGCACGGCCCUUACGUCCGGGGCGACACACGUGUUACAAUGGCAGGUACAGAGAGAAGCAAUGCGGCGACGCAAAGCGGAACUUGAAAGCCUGUCUCAGUUCGGAUUGGAGUCUGCAACUCGACUCCAUGAAGCUGGAUUCGCUAGUAAUCGCGCAUCAGCCAUGGCGCGGUGAAUACGUUCCCGGGCCUUGUACACACCGCCCGUCAAGCCAUGGAAGCCGGGAGUGCCUGAAGUGUGCAACCGCAAGGAGCGCCCUAAGGUAAAACUGGUGACUGGGGCUAAGUCGUAACAAGGUAGCCGUAA
rnacentral:rRNA from 1 species